GAGAAUUGCUUGAGCCUGGGAGAUGGAGGUUGCAGUGAGCUGAGAUCAUGCCACUGCACUCUAGCCUGGCCGACAGAGUGAGUCUCUGUCUC
rnacentral:miRNA from 1 species